AGAACUUUCCAGAGAUGGAUUGGUGCCUUCGGGAACUCUGAGACAGGUGCUGCAUGGCUGUCGUCAGCUCGUGUUGUGAAAUGUUGGGUUAAGUCCCGCAACGAGCGCAACCCUUAUCCUUUGUUGCCAGCGGUUAGGCCGGGAACUCAAAGGAGACUGCCAGUGAUAAACUGGAGGAAGGUGGGGAUGACGUCAAGUCAUCAUGGCCCUUACGAGUAGGGCUACACACGUGCUACAAUGGCGCAUACAAAGAGAAGCGACCUCGCGAGAGCAAGCGGACCUCAUAAAGUGCGUCGUAGUCCGGAUUGGAGUCUGCAACUCGACUCCAUGAAGUCGGAAUCGCUAGUAAUCGUAGAUCAGAAUGCUACGGUGAAUACGUUCCCGGGCCUUGUGCACACCGCCCGUCACACCAUGGGAGUGGGUUGCAAAAGAAGUAGGUAGCUUAACCUUCGGGAGGGCGCUUACCACUUUGUGAUUCAUGACUGGGGUGAAGUCGUAACAAGGUAGGCGUAGUGCU
rnacentral:rRNA from 1 species